UCCAAACAGAACUUGGAACCCUUGUUAAUGGGUGUCACAAUCUAGUAACAGCCAUCUCCCAAGCUUACUUGGCCAGAGUCGGUCAACAGCGAACAUGCUGAGCUGCUUCUCCACUUCGAGAGGCUGCAGCCUCAGGACCCCAGGUAGAGAAAGUAUCUAUGAAAGAUUAAGAAGAUGGCUGACUCCAUCCAGAUGCCACAGGCCAUGCUGCAGCAGCCACACAACUGUCACAGACACCCCAGGGACGGUCUCCCCAGGAGUGACCACCAGUGACCUACCAAAAUCAAGAACAUCCUAAAGUGCCUUGUCCAGGAGGAGAGAAAUCCAUCCACCACAGAGCUGCAGGCUGCUGGAGAAAGCUGUAUUAUGUGAAUGGCCACACUUUUCAAGCCAAACAGUUCAGCAGGUCUCAUUUUACAUCCCUGUAAUAACCACCCUCAGCUCUGCAUUUUGAAAGCAACACAUCAGCCUUGAUCUCAAAGACUGAAGUUCAGCAGAAGUGCAGGUAGAAAUGAAAGACUAACUCGAAGGCGGAGGACCAACCCUCUGAGAUGUGGACACAAACCCUCUGAGUUCACAGGAUAUUGUAAAGGAAGGUGACAGGAGCAGUAAAUAAGCCACUGCAGUAGAUCAGGGGUCAGCAGCCUUUUAAAAGGGGUGAACUGGAGAGCUGACCUCUAUCCUUCUGGCCUGCUGUUCCCUUGCUGACCACAUCUUUGAAAUAGAAGAGGCCAAAUUCCCAUCUGUAAGUCUCUGGGUGGAAAAGACUUCUGGCCCUCAUACUGCUGGUGGCCCAGCCACCCACAUGGAUAAUGAAGAGCUGUGUGUUAAACUCUACUUCGG
rnacentral:lncRNA from 1 species